rnacentral:rRNA from 1 species
AGGCUGUCGCAGAUGGAUGAAGCCUGCGUUUGGAUUAGCUAGUUGGUGAGGUAAUGGCCUACCAAGGCUACGAUCCCAUAGCUGAUUUGAGAGAAUGAUCAGCCACAUUUGGGACUGAGACAGGGCCCAAAACUCCUACGGGGAGGCAGCAGUGAGGAAUAUUGGACAAUGGGGGAAACCCUGAUCCAGCAAUGGCCCAUGUGUGUGAAGAAGGCCUUAGGGGUUGUAAAAGCACUUUAGUUGGGGGAAGAAAGCUUUAAGGUUAAUAACCUUGAGGAAGGACGUUACCCAAAGAAUAAGCACCGGCUAAACUCCGUGCC